rnacentral:misc_RNA from 1 species
CGACAACUUAGAGAUCCCAGACUUGAAUUUCCCACCAAUCUCGGCGAAGUCGCUACGAAUUCCCGCAAUCAAAUCCUCAUUGGAUUCCUCCGGAUCGGGCAACUGGUGUGGUUGGGGAUUAUCGCCUGGUCCAUCGGAGAUCUUACUAGACGGAAAGGAAGGGGAGGAGGGUUCAGGUGCAGGAGCGAGGAAAGAGGCGACGCCCCAGAAUUGGCGGGUUAAAGUUUUAGUGAGCUCGGAGAGGUCUUCCUUGACGCCACGUGGAGUGGUGGCGGAGGCUGUGGAUGAAGGAGAUGUUGGUGACGAUGAUUUGGAGUGAUGAUCAGAUUGAGGAAUUGGGGGUGAUUUUGAUUCGGUGACAUUAGGAUUAGGAGAACGGUCGUCGUCGUCGUCGUCGAGCUUGAGAGAGUUAGCAAUUGCCCUCG